rnacentral:rRNA from 1 species
AGUAAUGUCUGGGAAACUGCCUGAUGGAGGGGGAUAACUACUGGAAACGGUAGCUAAUACCGCAUAACGUCGCAAGACCAAAGAGGGGACCUUCGGGCCUCAUGCCAUCAGAUGUGCCCAGAUGGGAUUAGCUAGUAGGUGGGGUAACGGCUCACCUAGGCGACGAUCCCUAGCUGGUCUGAGAGGAUGACCAGCCACACUGGAACUGAGACACGGUCCAG